rfam:Candidatus Magasanikbacteria bacterium RIFCSPHIGHO2_02_FTLL_50_9b rifcsphigho2_02_scaffold_50729, whole genome shotgun sequence.
AUUGGUGGCUUCAAGUGCAGUGGAAACACCCGUUCCCAUUCCGAACACGGCAGUUAAGCACUGUUACGGCGAUGAUAGUCGGUUCCAACUCGGACCCGCGAAAGUAGCCCGCCGCCAGUU